rnacentral:rRNA from 1 species
AUAGUCCAGAAAUUUCGCAAGGAAUAAGUGGUAAAGAUUUAUCGGCACAAAUGGGGCAUGCGUAUGAGUAGGUUGUUGGUAGGGUAACGGCCUACCAAGGCUAAGAUCAGUAAGGGUUCUGAGAUGAUUAACCCCCACAGUGGUACUGAGACCAGGACCAGACUCCUACGGGAGGCAGCAGUGAGGAAUAUUGGUCAAGGGGCGGAAGCCUGAACCAGCCAUCGUGCGAGAAGGAAGACAGCCUUGCGGGUUGUAAACUUCUUUUCUGUCAGAAGAAUAAGCUUGUCGAGACGAGUGAUGCCGGUAUGACAGGAAUAAGCAUCGGCUAACUCCGUGCCAGCAGCCGCGGUAAUACGGAGGAGGCAAGCUUUAUCCGGAUUUAUUCGGUUUAAAGGGUGCGCAGGUUGUUUGAUAAGUCAGUGGAGAAAGUCUGUCGCUUAACGGGGGGAUUGCCAUAGAUACUGUUGGACUUGAAUAUGGAGGGGGUAGGGGGAAUGUGUAGUGUAGCGGGGAAAUGCAGAGAUAUUACGCAGAACCCCG